CUUUGGGAUAUAUAUUUGUACCUGGCAAGUAGAGACCCCCUCUCUCUGCUUUCUGAUCACCAUAUGAGUUGCUUCCCUCUGCCACACUCUUUCGCCAGGAUGUUCUGCCUCACCUUGAGCCCCAAGGAAUGGAGCCAACCUUCUAUGGACUAAAACCUCUGAAACUGUGAACCCUAAAUAAACCUUUCCUCCUUUACAGUUGUUCUAGUUGGGUCCUUUAGUCACAGCAGAAAAAAAAACUGACUAAAACACAUAUGUAUUGAUAGAAACUUAUGCAUGCACAGAAGUUUUUCAGGAUAACAUCCAUAUUUAUUGAGAAGAGUCUACUCCUGCCACCUUUCUAAGUCUUCUUUCUAAGUCUUCUAAGUCUUCUUGUUAGGAAUCCUUCCAAGUCAGCCAGUUCAAAUUCAUUCUUUUUUGACAGCAGUAUAGACAUAUAGGAUAAAGAAAUGCCAGUUUUAAAGCAACAGCUGGAGCAGGGGAUCAUGCUGGACAAUUGUUGGACCUUUAUUUUGUGUCCAGUUUUUUGCUCAAUGAAUAGUGCUACAAAUAACAUCUUUGAGCACAUGCAGAAUAAGGACUUUCAUGUCUCAGAGAUAGAUUCCCAAUAGUAAAACUGCUGUUUGAACCAUAUGUUCAACUUUUAAUAGCUGUCAACAGAUUGAUUCCUCAGAUGUCACCAGCGGAGUACAAGAAUUCUAUCCCUCAUCACCAUCAGGAAGAAUUCAGCCUCUUUAUUUUUUACCAGUGUGGUGGAUGGGGAGUGUUCUUUGCUUCUUUAGAUUGUUGAGCAUCUUUUCAUCUGCUCUUCAUAUUUUUCACUGGUUUUUCUCUUGGGACCUCUAGACUCAUCCUUGUGAAUUUGCAAGCCCAUUUAUCAAUUAGCAAUCUAAUCUUUAUCUAUACAGAAAGCAGCUUGAUUAUAUAC
rnacentral:lncRNA from 1 species